rnacentral:rRNA from 1 species
CCUACGGGAGGCAGCAGUGGGGGAUAUUGCACAAUGGGGGGAACCCUGAUGCAGCGACGCCGCGUGGGUGAAGAAGCGCCUCGGCGCGUAAAGCCCUGUCAGCAGGGAAGAAAAUGACGGUACCUGAAGAAGAAGCACCGGCUAACUACGUGCCAGCAGCCGCGGUAAUACGUAGGGGGCAAGCGUUAUCCGGAUUUACUGGGUGUAAAGGGGGCGCAGACGGCGAUGCAAGCCAGGGGUGAAAGCCCGGGGCUGAACCCCGGGACUGCUCUUGUAACUGCGUGGCUGGAGUGCAGGAGGGGCAGGCGGAAUGCCUGGUGUAGCGGUGAAAUGCGUAGAUAUCAGGAGGAACACCGGUGGCGAAGGCGGCCUGCUGGACUGCAACUGACGUUGAGGCCCGAAAGCGUGGGGAGCAAACAGGAUUAGAUACCCGAGUAGUC